rnacentral:rRNA from 1 species
AUAGUCUGGCCUGCCCACUGAUAAUUUUAAUUGAAGGGCCGCGGUAUUCUGACCGUGCGAAGGUAGCAUAAUAAUUAGUCUCCUAAUUAGAGGCUUGUAUGAAUGGUCGGACAAGAUAGGAACUGUCUCAAUAUAAAAAAUAAAAUUUAAUAUUUAAGUAAAAAAGCUUAAAUAAUUUAGAGGGACGAUAAGACCCUAUAAAGCUUUAUGGUAAUAUUUUUGUAUAUAAAAUAUUUCAUGUAACUUAUUAAAAAAUAAACACCAUUUUACUGGGGCGGUAAAAGUAUAUUUUUGAUUAACUGCUUUUGUUGUUGAAAACAGUUGUAGCUGAAUAAUAAAUUGAUCCAUUAUUAAUGAUCACAAGUACAAGUUACUUUAGGGAUAACAGCGUAAUUUUUCUUGAGAGUCCUUAUCGAAAGAAAAGUUUGCGACCUCGAUGUUGAAUUAAGGAAGCCUUAAGGUGCAGCAGUUUUA